rnacentral:lncRNA from 1 species
UACAGACAAGACAAAUAAAGAUAUACAAAGCUUAUGCGAGGUUCCCUGUAAAAGUUGUUGGACUUUAGAUAAAAUGAGGAGAGAAAAUAAUAAGAACUUUGAAUAUUAAUGAUAAGAACUAGAUAUUGACUUGAUAGUGUGAUUACUUGCAUUAAUAAAAAUUCUGUUUGUACAAGCUUAUAUAGUGUGAUUACUUGAAUCACAAGUAACUACAGUAGACUAAAACUAACUAUAGUAAGCAGUUAUAACAAACUAACUAACUAUAGUAACUAACUGUAAUCUAACUAACUAACUAGCACAAGGCAUUUGAAUUACAUUCAUAACAUCCCCCCUUAAUUCAAAUGCUCUAAGGACAUGACUCCAAUCUUGCUCCUCAGUCCUUUUGUCAAUAUGUCAGCUUCUUGUUCUACAUUAGGGCAGUGAGAUAGCACAAUUCUCCCUUUUCUUAGCAGACUUGUUGUCAACAAGGAGUUGAAUUGGUUCACUAAGUUCAGUUUUGCUGCCUUGACAAGCAGCAAAAGCACAAGAAAUGUACUCUGCCUCACAAGAUGAGAGCGAAAUCACUGGCUGCUUCUUGGAACACCAUGGAAUUGGAGCAUUUAAGAAUUUGAAUAUGUAACCU